rnacentral:rRNA from 1 species
GUGCUCAACCGUCCUUCGGGACGGUGCACUCUCCGNCGCGGGCCAGCAUCGGUUUCGACGAUUAGAUAAAGGCCUUGAUAACGUAGCUCCUCGGAGUGUUAUAGAUCAUGGCGGAAUGUAGUCAGUCGGGACCGAGGAAUGCGCAUUGCUAGGAUGCUGGCGUAAUGGUUGCCAGCGACCCGUCUUGAAACACGGACCAAGGAGUCGACCAACCGCGCGAGUGUUUGGGUUUUAAACCCACGCGCGUAAUGAAAAUGAACGUAGGUGGUAGCCUUUGGGUGCACCAUCGACCGAUCUUGAUGUUUUCGGAUGGAUUUGAGUAUGAGCCCGGCUGGUCGGACCCGAAAGGUAUGUAUUUCUCCUUUGGGGAGGGUCUUCGACGUUUCCCUUUUCCAUGCAUCCGCUAAUAGCUUUUUUAGAUGGUGAACUAUGCGUGAAUAGGGUGAAGCCAGAGGAAACUCUGGUGGAGGCUCGCAGCGGUUCUGACGUGCAAAUCGAUCGUCAAAUUUGCGCAUAGGGGCGAAAGACUAAUCGAACCAUCUAGUAGCUGGUUCCCGUCGAAGUUUCCCUCAGGAUAGCAGCAGCGAAAACAGUCUCAUGAGGUAGAGCAAACGAUUAGAGGUCUUGGGGUUGAAAUCGACCUUAACCUAUUCUCGAACUUCGAAUAUGUGAGAAGUCCUUGUUACUUAGUUGAACGUGGACAUUUGGAUGUGUCGCUGCUAGUGGGCC